rnacentral:misc_RNA from 1 species
CAACCCUCGAGCCCCUACGGGGGCUUGGUGUUGGGGAGCGGCCCCGCCCCUCUGCGGGCUGCCGUCCUCGAAAUACAGUGGCGGUCUCGCCGCAGCCUCCUCUGCGUAGUAGCUUGAAACCUCGCACCGGAGUGCGGCGUGGCCACGCCGUUAAGCCUUAGCUUCCUCAAA